rnacentral:hammerhead_ribozyme from 1 species
ACUUAGCUGAUGAGUCCUAAACAGAACGAAGUGCACAUCCUGAAU